UACGGAGGGGGCUAGCGUUGUUCGGAAUUACUGGGCGUAAAGCGCACGUAGGCGGCUUUGUAAGUUAGAGGUGAAAGCCCAGGGCUUAACCCUGGAAUUGCCUUUAAGACUGCAUCGCUAGAAUCGUGGAGAGGUGAGUGGAAUUCCGAGUGUAGAGGUGAAAUUCGUAGAUAUUCGGAAGAAACACCAGUGGCGAAGGCG
rnacentral:rRNA from 1 species